UACGUAGGGGGCGAGCGUUAUCCGGAUUCACUGGGUGUAAAGGGAGCGUAGACGGCCGUGCAAGCCAGGGGUGAAAGCCCGGGGCAACCCCGGGACUGCCCUUGGAACUGCAUGGCUGGAGUGCGGGAGGGGCAGGCGGAAUUCCUGGUGUAGCGGUGAAAUGCGUAGAUAUCAGGAGGAACACCGGCGGCGAAGGCGGCCUGCUGGACCGCGACUGACGUUGAGGCUCGAAAGCGUGGGGAGCGAACAGG
rnacentral:rRNA from 1 species